rnacentral:ncRNA from 2 species
AGUUGUCUUCGGGGCGGAGUGAAAUUCUCCACCGGUGGUUAAAGUCCACGAACAGGUGAAAGCCUGCCGAGUCUGUGAAAUUCAGACACCGACGGUUAUAGUCCGGAUACGAGAAGAUGCGG